UUGAUUGGGAUGAAGCUUUACAAAUAAUCCAACACUUGAUCUGAGUGAUACAUUGUAUCCUUUGAUGUCAAAUGAAUUUGCUUCUGAAUCUUG